CGCAGAGCGACAGCAGGAUGAUUGUAGCAAACAUGGUGGACUGGAUCAGACUGAGCUGAAGUGGCUGCAGGACCUGAAUGACCUGCUUUAUAAGGACGAUCUGCCUCCUCUGGGAGUGCACUUUGUUCAGUGUAUGAAAGAAAUUGGCGUCUACGAACAGGAUCCCGCGGCAGGUCGUCUGGACGGUGUGACCAGGGUAGUCCGAUAGUCCAGAGGACUAGGUCGCUCAGCCUCCAAACCUCUACAGCUGUUCUGAGUGGGAGGACUGCUCACCCGUCUGGAUCGCCUCUGACGAGAUCCAACGAACUCAAAAUCCAACGAACACAAAAUCCAACCUCUACUCGGCCCGGUGAGAGAGAUUCCGUUUUGUUGC